UUUUUUAUAUUUUUUUUUUUUAUAAAUGAAUUCCGCAAAAUAUUGUGGAAUUUAUUUAUACCAAACAGGGUCUAACAACCAAUAAAAAACAGAAAUAACUCAGGGCAUUGAGCUGUUUGAGCUAAGGAAUUCCAUUCUAACAUCUGCCCCAGUACCCCUGAUUCUUUGUAACACAGAUAAAACAUGAACGCAAAGGAAACCAUAACCACAGCUGAAUCCUUUACUGACAU
rnacentral:misc_RNA from 1 species